AUACGGAGGCUGCAAGCGUUAAUCGGAAUUACUGGGCGUAAAGCGUACGUAGGCGGUUUAUUAAGUCAGAUGUGAAAGCCCCGGGCUUAACCUGGGAACUGCAUUUGAAACUAGUAGACUAGAGUAUGGUAGAGGGGGGUAGAAUUCCUAGUGUAGCGGUGAAAUGCGUAGAUAUUAGGAGGAAUACCAGUGGCGAAGGCGGCCCCCUGGACCAAUACUGACGCUGAGGUACGAAAGCGUGGGGAGCGAACAGGAUUAGAAACCCCAGUAGUCC
rnacentral:rRNA from 1 species